rnacentral:rRNA from 1 species
UACCAGCACCCCGAGUGGUCGGGACGAUUAUUGGGCCUAAAGCAUCCGUAGCCGGUCAUGCAAGUCUUCCGUUAAAUCCAGCCGCUCAACGGUUGGGCUGCGGAGGAUACUACGUGGCUAGGAGGCGGGAGAGGCAAGCGGUACUCAGUGGGUAGGGGUAAAAUCCUUUGAUCCAUUGAAGACCACCAGUGGCGAAGGCGGCUUGCCAGAACGCGCUCGACGGUGAGGGAUGAAAGCUGGGGGGAGCAACCGG